rnacentral:rRNA from 1 species
GAUGAACGCUGGCUACAGGCUUAACACAUGCAAGUCGAGGGGAAACGGCAUUGAGUGCUUGCACUGAAUGGACGUCGACCGGCGCACGGGUGAGUAACGCGUAUCCAACCUUCCCGUUACUGCGGGAUAACCUGCCGAAAGGCAGACUAAUACCGCAUGUUCUUCGAUGACGGCAUCAGAUUCGAAGCAAAGGUCCGUCGGUAACGGAGGGGGAUGCGUCUGAUUAGCUAGUUGGCGGGGCGACGGCCCACCAAGGCGACGAUCAGUAGGGGUUCUGAGAGGAAGGUCCCCCACAUUGGAACUGAGACACGGUCCAAACUCCUACGGGAGGCAGCAGUGAGGAAUAUUGGUCAAUGGGCGGAAGCCUGAACCAGCCAAGUAGCGUGCAGGAGGACGGCCCUACGGGUUGUAAACUGCUUUUAUGCGGGGAUAAAGUGAGGGACGCGUCCCUUUUUGCAGGUACCGCAUGAAUAAGGACCGGCUAAUUCCGUGCCAGCAGCCGCGGUAAUACGGAAGGUCCGGGCGUUAUCCGGAUUUAUUGGGUUUAAAGGGAGCGUAGGCCGGGGAUUAAGUGUGUUGUGAAAUGUAGGCGCCCAACGUCUGACUUGCAGCGCAUACUGGUUCCCUUGAGUACGCGCAACGCCGGCGGAAUUCGUCGUGUAGCGGUGAAAUGCUUAGAUAUGACGAAGAACCCCGAUUGCGAAGGCAGCCGGCGGGAGCGCAACUGACGCUGAAGCUCGAAGGUGCGGGUAUCGAGCAGG